GAUGAAGAACGCAGCGAAAUGCGAUACGUAAUGUGAAUUGCAGAAUUCAGUGAAUCAUCGAGUCUUUGAACGCACACUGCGCCCCCUGGUAUUCCGGGGGGCAUGCCUGUCCGAGCGUCAUUGCUGCCCUCAAGCACGGCUUGUGUGUUGGGCCUCCGUCCUCCUCCCGGGGGACGGGCCCGAAAGGCAGCGGCGGCACCGCGUCCGGUCCUCGAGCGUAUGGGGCUUCGUCACCCGCUCUUGUAGGCCCGGCCGGCGCUUGCCGACACAUCAAUCUUUUUUCCAGGUUGACCUCGGAUCAGGUAGGGAUACCCGCUGAACUUAAGCAUAUCAAUAAGCGGAGGA
rnacentral:misc_RNA from 1 species